GCCUCUUGACCAACUCUGUUUCUCAUGUUUCACCUGCCUGAGUCGGGGCAGGAGCCUUCUGCAUGACGCAGCCUCAUUGGCAGAACAACCAUCUCAGCCUGCUCUGUCCAAAUUGAAGAGCAAGAAAUGCCAGUCAAUUUACCAGCUACAUUCAGAUUGCCUGAGAAUCCUGACUUUAUCAUUCACAGUAUGACCUUGGAUGAAUCAGAGGAGUUAAGAGGAAGCAAGAAGCAGAGUAAAACAGAUGCUCAGAGAAAAUCAGAGAGAGAGAGAGAGAGGAAGAGAGAGAGAGAGAUCAAGAACAAGCACAACCUUGUAGCCUCUGUGAAAGGUUGUCCAGGUUCCUGGCCACUUUCCACCUUCCAGUUCCAGUCCCCAGGAGUCCUGGCUGUACUUUGGCUUCUGUCCUUUGAUUUCAGUAAGUGUCCUUUGUGUGACUUUCUAAUAAAUGUGCCCAUUUCGAAGCUACACUGAGGGACUCUGUUCUAGUUGCCCCAAAAAGCUCCAACUACAAAUGAGAGGCAGGCAUGUCAUGUUCCACCUCUAAAUUGUAGACUGGGAACAUCUUUAAGGCAAAGGGUGAAAUCAGUGUUUUUACUUUAAAAAUAUUUCAAACAUAUAAAAUAUAAGAAACAAUUAAUGUGCAUCUGUGAACCCAAUUCAGCUUUAGCAAUUGCUGAAUUAAAUAGUUUUGCCAUGUUGGCCUCAUAAUUUUUAAAAAGAAAUAAAGCAUUUCAGUACAGAUGAAAUCUCUUGGAU
rnacentral:lncRNA from 12 species